GCGGGGUUGGUGUAGUUGGUUAUCACGUCAGUCUAACAUCGAGUUUCCGAGCAAUUGGAGCUUGUGUCAGAGCACUGAAGGUCGCGAGUUCAAGUCUCGCAUCCCGUA